rnacentral:rRNA from 1 species
UGGGGAAUAUUGCACAAUGGGGGAAACCCUGAUGCAGCGACGCCGCGUGAGCGAAGAAGGCUUUCGAGUCGUAAAGCUCUGUCCUAUGAGAAGAUAAUGACGGUAUCAUAGGAGGAAGCCCUGGCUAAAUACGUGCCAGCAGCCGCGGUAAUACGUAUGGGGCGAGCGUUGUCCGGAAUUAUUGGGCGUAAAGGGUACGUAGGCGGUUUUUUAAGUCAGGUGUCAAAGCGUGGAGCUUAACUCCAUUAAGCACUUGAAACUGAAAGACUUGAGUGAAGGAGAGGAAAGUGGAAUUCCUAGUGUAGCGGUGAAAUGCGUAGAUAUUAGGAGGAAUACCGGUGGCGAAGGCGACUUGCUGGACUUUUACUGACGCUCAGGUACGAAAGCGUGGGGAGCAAACAGG